AAAGGGAGACCAACUGGCACAGCACAUGGAUAAAGUAUAGUGUGUUGUAGCUGGACAUCCCUGGUCGUACAAGGGAACAUCAAAAGUCAAAGUUAACUUUCAAACUAGAGUCUGGUUCGGUUCAUGGGCUAUUAGCUCAGGUGGUUAGAGCGCACCCCUGAUAAGGGUGAGGUCCCUGGUUCAAGUCCAGGAUGGCCCACCUAACCGAACAAGGGGGUAUAGCUCAGUUGGUAGAGCGCUGCCUUUGCAAGGCAGAAGUCAGCGGUUCGAGUCCGCUUACCUCCAGGCCAGGAAAAGUUUAGAACUCAGCAACUAGACCUGAAUGAUUCAAGUCAUGCUGCUGGGCUACUAACGUCCAGCCAGAACCUUGAAAACUGCAUAGUCAAUCAGUCAAAGUAACUCAAACAGAGGUUAGUCAAGAGCUAACCAUUCCAUGAGGUGCAGAAAGU
rnacentral:tRNA from 1 species